UGAACGCUGGCGGAAUGCUUACACAUGCAAGUCGAGCGGCAGCGCGGGGCAACCUGGCGGCGAGCGGCGAACGGGUGAGUAACACAUCGGAACGUACCCUGUUGUGGGGGAUAGCCCGGCGAAAGCCGGAUUAAUACCGCAUAAGACCUGAGGGUGAAAGCGGGGGACCGCAAGGCCUCGCGCGACAGGAGCGGCCGAUGGCGGAUUAGCUAGUUGGUGGGGUAAAGGCUCACCAAGGCGACGAUCCGUAGCUGGUCUGAGAGGAUGAUCAGCCACACUGGAACUGAGACACGGUCCAGACUCCUACGGGAGGCAGCAGUGGGGAAUUUUGGACAAUGGGGGCAACCCUGAUCCAGCCAUUCCGCGUGAGUGAAGAAGGCCUUCGGGUUGUAAAGCUCUUUCGGCAGGAACGAAACGGUGGGCUCUAACAUAGUCUGCUAAUGACGGUACCUGAAGAAGAAGCACCGGCUAACUACGUGCCAGCAGCCGCGGUAAUACGUAGGGUGCGAGCGUUAAUCGGAAUUACUGGGCGUAAAGCGUGCGCAGGCGGUUUCGUAAGACAGAUGUGAAAUCCCCGGGCUUAACCUGGGAAACUGCGUUUGUGACUGCGAGACUGGAGUGUGGCAGAGGGGGGUGGAAUU
rnacentral:rRNA from 1 species